rnacentral:lncRNA from 1 species
GGAGGUCGAUGGACUCGGGGGCGUAGCGGUCGCGGUAGAUGUCGAAAUCGCGAAAGUUGAACUCCCAGACGUAGCGGACGGAGCCGCCGGCGCCGAGGUCGGGGAGGUUGCCGGCGGCGUCGGAGAGGGUGAGGCCCACCUGGAUGAGGUGGAGGGCGUCGACGUUGGCCUUGAGGAGGGCAUACCGUUCGGCGGGGCAGAGGAUGGCGGGGUGCUUCCGGGAGCGGUGGACGACGCCGGGGAACUCCGUGUCCAUGGCGGCGAAGGGGUGACACUCGACGGCCUCGCGGAUGAGGUCGAAUUCCGCCUCCAGGUUAUCGGCCCACACGGAGCGGACCUGGACCUCGAUCGGCUCUUUUGCAUCUUCCAAAGAAGGCAUCUUUUGGCCGCUAAUCUGCUUCGAUCCG